CACUUGCAGUCCUAGCUACUCUGAAGGCUGAGAUGUGAGGAUCUCUUGAUGAGUUUCACAAGCCUCACUGUAGAAAGGAGUGCUAGUACCCCAUUUAUCUUCUUGCCAAAACAAAACUAAUUUGAAUUAAUCUCAUCUGUGACUUCUGUGGUAUGAUCUAAAGGGCACUAUCAGGAGUAAAAAAAUUUUCUCAGCAGUGCCAAAAACACAUCCAGUGGUAAAAUAUUAUUUCUGUAAAACACUGUCCUUUCCCUUGUCCAUUGAUCCUCAAAAA
rnacentral:lncRNA from 1 species